rnacentral:rRNA from 1 species
AGAGUUUGAUUAUGGCUCAGGAUGAACGCUAGCUACAGGCUUAACACAUGCAAGUCGAGGGGUAGCAGGGUAGCAAUACCGCUGACGACCGGCGCACGGGUGAGUAACACGUAUCCAACCUUCCCAUAACUCAGGGAUAGCCUUUCGAAAGAAAGAUUAAUACCUGAUAGUACUUUUUCAAGGCAUCUUAGAAAAAGUUAAAGAUUUAUUGGUUAUGGAUGGGGAUGCGUUCCAUUAGAUAGUUGGUGAGGUAACGGCUCACCAAGUCUUCGAUGGAUAGGGGUUCUGAGAGGAAGGUCCCCCACAUUGGUACUGAGACACGGACCAAACUCCUACGGGAGGCAGCAGUGAGGAAUAUUGGUCAAUGGGCGAGAGCCUGAACCAGCCAAGUAGCGUGAAAAGGAUGAAGGUCCUAUGGAUUGUAAACUUCUUUUAUAGUAGAAUAAAGUGAGCCACGUGUGGUUUUUUGUAUGUAUACUAUGAAUAAGGAUCGGCUAACUCCGUGCCAGCCGCCGC